CGUUAGCGUGGACGGACAUGACCGGUGGCGCGCUGCGGAAAUUCGGGUGACCCACGGGGUAGGGUCGAGAUAGUCCGGCGCGAUGGCGAAGACAGAGCCGCGACCGGGUGUCUACUGGAU
rnacentral:sRNA from 21 species